UCGAUUAGAUACCCCCGUAGUCCCAGCCGUAAACGAUGCUCGCUAGGUGUCAGGCAUGGCGCGACCGUGUCUGGUGCCGCAGGGAAGCCGUGAAGCGAGCCACCUGGGAAGUACGGCCGCAAGGCUGAAACUUAAAGGAAUUGGCGGGGGAGCACAACAACGGGUGGAGCCUGCGGUUUAAUUGGACUCAACGCCGGACAACUCACCGGGGACGACAGCAAUAUGUAGGUCAGGCUGAAGACCUUGCCUGAAUCGCUGAGAGGAGGUGCAUGGCA
rnacentral:rRNA from 1 species